rnacentral:lncRNA from 1 species
CUAAUUCUUUAAACUUGAUUUUUUUUCAAAAUAAAUAUUUAAAAAAUAUGAAAUUACCUCCAAUAGAUCAUAAAUCUUCUGUUCUUGCUCUUGAGACAUUCGAAUCAGAACUUGAUAAAAUUAUGAUUUUAUCCCUGAAAUACAAUGUCUUUUUUAAGCCAAAAUCAUUAGUAACCCCCUCAAAUAUUUUGUAAUCAUCAAAAUCAAUUCAUGGAGCAAUAGAUAUUUUGAGAAAAUUUUUCAUGGG